UAUAUAUAUAUAUAUAUAUAUAUAUAUAAUUAUGUUAUUUAUAUGGUUCUAAAUAUCGAAUCGUAUGAUGUUUUGACAAACAACAAAAAUAUUGAAUUAUGCGUGUUUGCGUAUGUCUUUCAAUCUUCCAUAUCCACAUAAUUUUUUGCUUGAAAAAUACCAUAAUCCAUAACUGAUAUAGCCUAAAACCGAACGGCUAAAUUAUUAUUUUGUUCUUGUUAAAAGCCAC
rnacentral:lncRNA from 1 species